GAGCAGAGAGGUUACAUGCUUAACUAGCUCAGAGGUUUCCUGAUCUAAUAGAAAAUCAUUGGUAAGGAAAGGCCAUCCAUACAGCAUCUCAAAAGGACUAAGACUUAAUUUUGAAGGGGUAUUUCUUAUUUGUAGUAAGGCCGUGGGAAGAAGAGUGACCCAAGGCAGGUUGAGACAUUAACUCUAUGCCCAGAAGAACUUCAAAAAAUGUUGUAUUAGGGCGCACCAAGAGGAUGCAAAAAGAUUCAGAACUGCGGAGCUCUACAGAGCAGACGGUCAGUCUCCUCCCAAAACAAAUGGCACAACAGAAAUGGCGGAGGCAGGGCAAAAAUACUACUGACAAGAUUGAAAGAAGAUUGAAAGACACAUAAACCAAAGGCAAUGUGUGGCCCUUGCUGGAUCUUUAUUUGUGCAAACUCAAUGGUAAAAUUACAUUCCUGAGACCUUUUGGGGAAAUCCGAACAUUAAUUGAGGUAUAAGGUAUAUCUAUAAAGGUAUUCAUAAUUUUCUUUGGUGUGAUAAUGGUAAAGUGCUUAUUUUUCUUUUAAACUUUAUCAGUUGGAGAUACAUGGCUGGUAAAUUUACAGUGAAAUUACAUAAUGUCUGAAGUUUACUUUAAAAUACCUCAGAGGGGGAAAAAAGCAUGCAAAUGAGUGUGUGUAUAAGAGCUGGGAUACGUAAAACAGAACUGGCAAAUAUCAACAACCUGAGCUGAGGCAUGGGUACAGGAGAAGGCUCAUUCUGUAUUUUUGUGCAUGUUUAAACAUAUCCACAAUAAAAAUUUCCUAAAAAAAAAGUUGUAGUUGCUUAUUUCAAACUAGAAGGAAAAGUUACUAACACUGAUUUCACUCAAUCUAAACAGAGACUACUGCCAAGAGAAUGAUACUUUUCUAUUUAGUCUAGUGGUAGUGUAUGGAUAUAAAGUGAAUGUGGUUUCCAGAGAUAUACGGGAUUUGUUUUAAAAAUACUGGAACAUUUUUAUUUAAAGAUCAAAUCAGAGUUUGCCAUGUCAACUUAUAGUUUUAGCGUCAGCCAUCUAUAAAUUGAACAACUAAACUGUGUCAAAAGAACUUAAAGGCAAAUUGAAAACAUAUUCAUAUAACAAUAUCGUCCAAUUACAAUGAGUUGAGAUCUGGAAAAUGCAGAUAAUCCAUUGGGUUAUUUCCAAUCUUUAUUAAAAAAUAUUUAAUCUUUUUGAAUAAAAUACAUAAAAUAUACUGAACUUUAUUCAGUAAAUAUGAUACUGCAUUAUAAUUUAUGAAGGUGAAUCAUCUAGGAAAAGUUUUACAUCAUAAUGUACCAUUAAGUCUAUAGGAAUUUAAAAUCUAUAGGAAUUUAAAAUGUGUAAGUUUGUAUGAUUUGACAUAAUUUUAUGUAUGAAAUCUAAAUUGACGUGGCUUUCAUUUCUUAAAAGUUUAAAUGAUUUUACUUAUAAUUUUUAUAUAUUCAAAUCUAAACUGAAAUGCAACUUAUCUUUUAAAAAUUCCCAGGAAUUACACAGUAUCACGUAAUGAUGCUUAAAAUAAUUUUGACACUUCUUACUAAAGAAAGGUAUUUUAUAAUUUAUACCAGUCUGAGCUCUAAAUGAUACAGUAAGCCAAUUAAGUCAUUUCUUCACAUUUAGCUGCCUAGAAUUCCUGGGUUUUGCAAGAACUGAGAAGUGAAUUUUUAUCUCUAGAAUCAUGGCUUCUGAAUUAAAGUCUUGUUAGUAUAUGUAGUUAAGGGAAAUCUUGAAAUAUUAGAACUCCUAAAAUUGGACUCUCUAUAAUGCACACAUGAAAGCUUUCUCUUCUAGAACGGGACCAUCCACAAACACAAUUCUACCUGACUAAUAAUCAUGACAUUUCUAGACUCUCCCUCACUAGUAAUUAAACUUGGCAUAGUGUCAUUUUGUCUUUUGGUAAUAUAAACAGUAACAAAUUGCCCCCAGAUGUCAUUUUUUGCAUCUUAUCAUUGUGAGCAUAAAGAGGUAUCAUUUCAAUAAAUGAAGAAAAUGAGGAAGCAAAAUGGGAGGAAUUAAAAACUUGGUCCUCAGGAAAAUGGAAUACAUGCUCCCUUUUUGGAAACUGUCAGGAUUACCAGAAUUUAUAUAUCUCUUCUAUAGAGGUACUUUCCCUAACUUAGUAAAUAGUUGCUGAAUUUCAUAGAAAUCUAUUCACAGCAUAUUGAAUAUAGUCCUCUACAUUUUGAAAUCAGAUAACUUUCCUGGCAUGGUUUCUGUUUUGGUACACAUAUUAUUUAUCUAGAAGAAUAUAAUGCCUUUCAGUUGAAAUAUGUAUUUAGGUGCUUUUAAAGGAAGUCAAUUUUUAACCUUAAAACUGCUAAAAUUUACACUUUUUACUUGCUGACAUUAUUAAAUGCAUUUUACCUGACGGCAAAUCUUUCGAUAAGACAAUAGUUAUCUGAAGUUCACUGCCUUAACAACCAUUGGUUUUUUAAGGCAUUUAACUCUCAAUGUCCAAAACUACCUUACAAAACUCCCAAAACCAUAAAGAAAAUAAUUUAUGUAGAAAUCUUUUGCGUUCAAAAAGGUUACAUGUGAAGCUUAGAGAAAAUUAUUUACAAUUCUGUUUGUUCAAAUAUCUGCAAACAUAUGUUUGUGUUGAAUCUUUAAUUUUACUCGGGAGAAGUGAACAUUUAUAAUAACUUUUAAAACACAUACAUGUAAUGGCUAUCUAAUAUCAAUUUUUAUUUUAAAAAUAUUGGAAGUGAGUACUACACAUAAUAGAAGAAUGUGCUUUUUAACUCUGAUUUUACAAGUUAAAAAUAUGACAAUGCCUGUAUUAUUUUUCCUUUUGGGAUUAAAGCCACCUGCUAUAUAGACAAAUUUUAUUUAUGUUGUCCUCCUAUAAUAAAAGUGAAAUUACUGAAUAGAAUAUUAGUGUGAACACUCAUACUACUUCUACUGUCAUUUUCAUGAAGAUCAACCUCCCCCACUGAUAUUGGAGUUAUACAAAUACUAAAACAAGAAUUCAAUCCCAUGUUUCUGGGUUCUGUAGUUGAGCCAAAGGACCAGGUGUGACUGAACCAUGUCUAUUCAUAACAUAAGGUGGACUACUUAUUAGCAUUUUAGAGAAUGGUUCAAAUUCUACCAUCUAAAAUAUAUAACAAGUGAAUUGUCAAAAAAAUUACCAUGACAUUACUUGGGUUGGGUUAUUCGACUCAUCAAUUUUAAUUUGGAAAUUAAGAAGAAAAAUUUUUUCAAAGAGGGCCCUCUGAAGACAUUUCUUUCUUAGAAAGGUCAUUUUAUGCAUUUAGAGGGGCUAAUUAUUUUGCUCUGAGCUACUAAAAUGUAUAUCUAUAUGAUACUAUUUUUCUAGGACAGGGAGGUUUGGUUUAUUUGACGGGCCAUAAAAAACACAUGCACAUAAAAUUCAGCUGUUCAUCUAUUGUCUAUCUUUUGCUCUUUCAAGAGUUACAUAUAGACAAAAAGUGUGUUUUUGUUGUUGUUUAAAACAAAUACAUCCAUGUAGCACUGCCUUAAACAUGAAAAUUGUGAAAAAAUCACCUUACACUCCCCCAUAAAAAAGCAAAAGAAAUUAUGUGUUACGCUCAAAGAUCACGAGUUACAUGCUGAAUUGGCUUCCAAAUAGCAUAUAUGCUAAAUAAUAUGUUUUCUGUUAAAACUUGUAAAAUUCAAGAAAAACUGUUUCCUUAAUGGAGGAUUUAAGAGCAAAACACUGAAAUCCCAACAGAUUUGCUACUUUCAAUAUGUGCUGAAGAAAUAUUCAUUAAAUGGAGCAGUGGGUCAGCAAUAAAAUUUCCAAAUGCUUAUUACAUAAAUUUUAACAUUAUAACUUACAGAAUAUAACCACCAAAUAGAGAGCACAACUAAAAACAAAAUGUUAAAUGCAUUUUAUUUUACAAUGGUAAAGGAAAUAAAUCCCAGAUUAGGUUAAAAUGUUGGGUUUGAUGCCUUAUCAAAGUGGUCUUCAUGAAAAUAUUUACCAAAUUAUAGUUCUACAUAUCUCCCAAUCCUGUUUUAAUGUUAAUUUACAAUGUAAGUUAUAUUUCUGAAAAUCUUCAAUGAGUGAGACAUAUGCGCUCUUAAAUCAAUGUAAUUUUGAAAAGUAUUGGAAACUUUAAAACUUCAACAAUGUUCUCAAUUAUAUGCUUUAACUUCCCAUAUUUUUAAAGUUGAACGACUACUUCCAGGUAAUAGAUGCACUGAAUAAAAAGGAUUUUUAAUUGUAUCUGAGGCAUUUUUCAUCUUAUUUUUAUCAAUGCAUAACUAAACUGUGACUUUAAAGACAAAUGUUAAACUCUCUAAUUUGAAUGUAUUUUAAUAGAUCUUUGCUGAUGUAAGAAGAUGGAAUUUGGGCACAGAAGGCUUUCCGAGUUUUGAGGGGAAGUUGACAUUUCUAGCUCUGAUAUUUUUGUCUUGAAUUUAGAUGGCUUUUCUCUAAAUUAAAUCAACUAGUUAAUCCUUCUCUUUCAAUUCUGUUCAACUAAAUUGGGCAUGAGUCACUAUUAGAAGAAUAUAUAAAACUUUAAAAGUUAUAAAUACCCUACUUGUAGAAGUUUGAUAAUAAUGUGUGGAUAUUUUUGAAAUACAAGAAUAUUCUGGUUUAAAAAAUAUGUAUCUGUAGCUGACAAAAUUUGUCUCACAGAUAUGAAUGUUAGAAUUAUAUUAAAAAUUGCUUUCUUUUUUGGUUUUGGUUAGGUUCCUGAAAAAAAAAAACUUCCUAAACCAAGACUCAGUAUUGCGUUUGUACAAAAUAAAAUGGCUACAUAUUAAACAGGCAAAGAUAAUACUGUUUCUCUUUGGUAAUGGGAUGUCAUAUGCUUUAGAGUAGGGUUUUUAAAAAAAUAACUUCUAUUAACUCCUUUUGGCAAAGAGGCUAGCAUUCAUUAAUUUACAGAAAAACUUUUCCAUUUACUACCCUAAUCAGCAGAAUGAAAUAAUACUCCUUCUCAAGGGAACUAGCCUAAUCCUGGAGAGAUAUUCAUACACUAUUGAAGACUGAUAUUUUUCUGGUUGGUUGGGAGCAAAGUACUAGCUUGGUAACGGUAUCUAUAGAAAGCAAGCCAUGAGAAAUAAAGCUACAGCUUUUUCUUCAGUGAUACCAUCCCCAUUCAAGAGGUUUAAAUUCUUUCUCUUGAGAAAAUCAUAGAUAGCAGUUCUGAGAGCUUUGCUGUUACAAGGGAAAUACAUGCUUAAAAUGUUAGGAGAACAUACCUAGCUUUCAGGCCAUUCUUCCAUCAGGACUUAAAGCUUUAGGAGAAUACCAUAAAUAAUUUGCUUUUUAGGAAAGAAGGAGUUUAAAUUCUCAAUGGGAUCAAAGAAAGCUAUGGGAGCACAUGGGGUAUGAGAUAUUUCCAAAUAGCUUCAGAAUUCUGCUAUUCAGUGUCAAAUACCACUCUGGAAAAUAUUGAACCUACUGAAUCUAUACCCAUG
rnacentral:lncRNA from 10 species